GACCAUAAUUACGGUGUAGCUAACAUAAGUGUAGGUAUAGCACGCGCUAUCCAGUAUCCAUCUGUGAUUUGUAGUGUUCCAGAUUUUCACCAAACGCAGAUUCUCCCGCAACGCACCACCCUUGAAGAAACAUUCAGCAAAAGCUGCCGAAUACAGAGCUUUAAUGGCUGCGCCCACUUCUGGAACAAUACAGGAAGAUGCUGCAGUAAGAGGGGGAGAUAAGCUCAUAUUGAGGGGUUUGAAGUUCCAUGGUUUCCAUGGGGUGAAGCCUGAGGAAAGGAAGUUGGGUCAGAAGUUUGUGAUAGACGUUGAUGCUUGGAUGGAUCUCCGGGAGGCUGGUAAAUCUGAUCACUUGUCAGAUACAGUUAGUUACACCGAAAUCUAUCGCAUCGUAAAGGAAGUUGUAGAAGGGCCUCCUCAUAAUCUUCUGGAGUCUGUGGCUCAACAAAUUGCAUCUACCACUCUGAAAAAUUAUCCCCAGAUAUCUGCUGUCUCUGUGAAAGUUGCAAAGCCGCAUGUCGCUGUUCAUGGUCCUCUUGACUACUUGGGUGUGGAGAUUUUUAGAUACAGAAGUAUUGAUUUGCCAAAGUAAUAUUUUACCAAGUUACUCAUACAUAGGCAAUCUAUGUCCCCUGUGACUUCCUGACACAGGUUUUUAGUGUGUGGUUUUCUCAGUUUGAAAAUUUGGCUCUGAUUGUUUGAUCUUGGUUGCUUUGGUUUUAUACUUAAUACCUGUGAACUUUUCUUUUAUUCGAUUUCUUCAUCAAGAUUGCAGUAACGGGUCAGUCCCCGAAUUUAUGCAGCAAAAUAAGAGAUAGGGCUGGUCAUGUGGAAUGGUUAGAUCAGUUAGCCA